UACAGAGGGUGCGAGCGUUGUUCGGAAUUAUUGGGCGUAAAGCGCUUGUAGGCGGCCUGUCAAGUCGCGUGUGAAAUCCCCUGGCUUAACCAGGGAAGUGCGCGCGAAACUGAAGGGCUUGAGUGCCGGAGAGGGUCGCGGAAUUCCCGGUGUAGAGGUGAAAUUCGUAGAUAUCGGGAGGAACACCAGUGGCGAAGGCGGCGACCUGGACGGACACUGACGCUGAGACGCGAA
rnacentral:rRNA from 1 species